UAUAUAAGAAUUGAUGCGCCCACCAGCUUCUUCUCCCAUUUUUUUUCUUUUUUUUCGGCCCCUUUAAUACUAAAACGACGUCGUUUUAGUAUUUUCCACUGCAAAAGUAACUAAGAGCAUUUUUCUUUUCCAAUUUCAUAUAAUAUGGACGGUACUCAGACGUGGGGGCCCAUGGUCGGUUUAUGAUGUCAAAUGACGUACGGCCCAUUUUUUUAUGUUUGUUUCUCUCUCCUGCAUUUAAUAUUUGCCAAGAAAUUUCAUCUUCCUUAUUUUUUUUCCUCCAUGUGUAUUCAAUUAUUACUUUGCUGUUCUGCAACCUCUCUCUUUAAAUCCAGAGGAGAGAGAAAUACCAUAGCCAUCUUCUCUCACUAGCCAGGUUGCCGCCGUCUCUCUCUUAAAACUCCUACACCACUGGCCCGCCGGCUGCCGACAUGUAGUGGAUUCACGGAAGUCCUGCCGCUUCAGGCGCCGGCCGGCAUCGACGACGCUGCUUCCACCACAUGUGCGGAGAAGAACCUCAUCUCCGUCGUGCACUCCGAUGAGGACCUCAAGGGUUUCGAUUCUUUUAACAAUUUUUUUUCGGAUUUGUUUCUUCUUCGCUUCAAUUUAGCUUUUUACCAAUCUAAAAUUUCUCUUUCAAACAAAUUACAGAUAUAGGUGAACAAAUUUCUUUUCUCCGGGGUCGGCACUCUGCGCGGGACCCAUGGUCGGUGUUUGACAUCCCUCAAACCGCCAAUUCGCAUCUGUUCGGAUUCAGGAUUCCAACAAUUGCAGCGAAUUUGGUGUAAUUCGUCACGAAUUACGUGAAGCAACACGUAAGAAUGAAUAAGGAGCUAGGCGGAUGCUGCUGAAGACACAUUUUGGACUACCGACACCAAUGGCUUAGCGUGCAAUUCCAAUUCAAUUAUUGUUGAACAUAGCAAUAUAAUUGUUGCACUAUUGUUUAUCAAGCAGUUGAAAAUUCGAAAA